CUAUUGUUGGCCCAAUCUUUCCUGUAAACCACAAGUAAUAUACCAAUCUUAAGCAUUUCAGCAGCGGUGGUAUACAAAUUAAAAAAAAAUAAUGUACAAAGAAAAAUCAUGAUUUAUAUAAAAUCUCCACAUAAGGAAAAACAAAUCAGUAUCAGGCAUCAUUAAAUUCCACUAAUCCUUUUAUCAAUGCUAUUGCUGGUUCAGGUAACUUCUCUACGUGUCUUGUUUCUUUAUCAUCUAAAAUCCAUUGAUUCUAGUGCUAUAGAUCAAUAUAUAGUGCUAUAGAUCAUAGAUCAUAAGAUAGUUAAUUCGAGUACCUUUUCUACUUUUCAAUCCCAUAUAACACCUUCUAAUAUCACUUUAGCAGAUGGGUCCACCUCUUGUGAUUUUGGUUAUAGAACUGUUAAUCCAACUUCAUCAAUCUGUUUAUCGCCCGUGUUGAGUCUACCUAAGUUUGCUUUCAAUUUAAUUUAGGUUAGCAAAUUACUCGAGCCUUGAAUUGUUCCUCCUCAUUCUUCCCUCAUUAUUUUGUAUUUCAGGAUCUUAUGACAAAGUAAAUUAUUGGUAGAGGACAUGAGUUUAGAGGUCUCUAUAUCCUUGACACACAAGUACCUAGGGUACCUAGGUCUUUUGUUUGCUCCAGUGCCUCAACCCCUUUUGCAAUUCAUUGUAGAACAGGGCAUCCUUCCUUAUCUAUCUAAAAGAAGUUAUGUCCUCAAUUCCAGUCAUUAUACACUUUAGAAUGUGAGUUAUGUCACUUUGCUAAACAUUAUCAUUUACCUUGUCCCUAGAGUUAAUAAAUGGCUUUUGUGUCCUUUUGAGCUAGUCCAUUUUGACAUUUGGAGUCCAUGUUCUGUUAUUUUCGAAAUCUAGGUGUAUAUAUUUUGUUACUCUUGUUAAUGACCACUCUCGUGUUAUUUGGCUCUAUUUAACGAAAAAUCGCUCAAAGUUAUUUUCUAUUUUUUACACCUUUUGUACUAGAAUAAAAACUCAAUUUAAUGUUUCUGUGCGUAUAUUACAAAGUGAAAAUGCUAAAGAGUAUUUUUCAGAGUUUUCACAAUUAUAUGACAUAGAAUGACAUCCUUCAUCAAUUCUCAUGUGUUGAUAUACCAUCUCAAAUAGAGUUGUUGAAAGGAAAACCAUCAUAUUCUUGAAGUUGCUCGGGCACUUCUUUUUCAAAUGAAGAUACCCAAAGAAUUACGGGCCGAUGUAGUCUCUAUGGUCUGCUUUUUUAAUUAAUCGCACACCUUCUAUUUUCAUGGUGGCAUUCUUAUAUUGUUUUAUUUCCAUCUAAAUCCUUGUUCCUUAUUGAACCACAUAUACUUGAUAGCACUUGUUUUGUGCAAGAUAUCCAUCCACAGAUAACUAAAUUUAAUCUAAAGUCUCUUAAAUUUGUCUUCCUGGGGUAUUCUCGUCUUCAAAAAGGGUACACGUGCUUGGUUAUAAGGAAGCUAUUGUUUCUAAGUAGGCCUUUGUAGUAAAAGUGAGCCUAGAUGGUUCUGUGGCCAAGUUAAAAGCCUGCCUUAUUGCCAAAGGAUAUGCUCAAAGUUAUUGACUUGACUAUUCUGAUACAUUCUCUUGUAGCUAAGCUUGCUUCUAUUCGUUUGUUCAUCUCUCUAGCAGCACAUAUAAUUGGCCUCUUCAUCAACUAGACAUCAAGAAUGUUUUUCUUCAUGGUGACCUUCAAGUAGAAGUUUAGACGAAGCAACCACCUGGAUUUAUUGCUCAGAGGAAGCUAGGUAAGGUUUGAAGACUUCAAAAGUCUCUUUACGGCAUGAAACAAAGUACCCGAGCUUGAUUUGGGGAUUUAGUGAGGUUGUACACGAGUUUGGUAUGUAAAAGAGUAAGUAUGAUCAUUUAGUGUUCUAUAUGUAGUCAGAGGUUGGCCUAAUUUUGCUAUUAGUUUAUGUGGAUGAUAUUGUUAUUACUGAAAGUGACUUCGCAGGUAUUUCAUCAUUUCAAUGUUUUCCUCAUACCCAAUUUCAAACAAAAGACUUGGGCUUGUUAAAGUAUUUCUUAAGUAUUGAAGUUAUAAGGAGUAAGAAAUGCAUUUUCUUAUCUCAAAGAAAGUAUAUCCUUGAUCUAUUGGCAAAAAAAGGGGAAUUAGGUGUUAUGCCUUGCAAUGUACAAGUGGUUCUGAAUUUAAAACUUAUAGCAGGGGAUGGUGAGUUGUUUAAAGAUCCUGAGAUGCACAGGAGACUAGUGGAUAAACUAAACUAUCUUACAAUAACUCCUCCUAACAUUGCACAUUCUGUCAAUGUAAUAAGUUACUUUAUAUCUUUAACUGUUGCUCAUUGGGAAGUCUUAGGACAAAUUUUGUGUUAUUUGAAAGGUGCUCCAGGACAAGGACUACUAUACA
rnacentral:misc_RNA from 1 species